GAUGAACGCUGGCGGCGUGCCUAAUACAUGCAAGUCGAGCGAACAGACGAGGAGCUUGCUCCUCUGACGUUAGCGGCGGACGGGUGAGUAACACGUGGAUAACCUACCUAUAAGACUGGGAUAACUUCGGGAAACCGGAGCUAAUACCGGAUAAUAUAUUGAACCGCAUGGUUCAAUAGUGAAAGACGGUUUUGCUGUCACUUAUAGAUGGAUCCGCGCCGCAUUAGCUAGUUGGUAAGGUAACGGCUUACCAAGGCGACGAUGCGUAGCCGACCUGAGGGGGGGAUCGGCCCAACUGGAAUUGAGACACGAGCCAGACUCCGACGGGAGGCACAAGUAGGGAAUCUUCCGGAAUGGGCGAAAGCCUGACGGAGCAACGCCGGGGGAAGGAUAAAGGUCUUAGUAUCGUAAAACGCUUUUAUUAGGGAAAAACAAAAGUGUAAGUAACAAUGCAGGUCUUGAGGGUACCUAAUCAGAAAGCCACGGCUAACUUCGU
rnacentral:rRNA from 1 species